ensembl:lncRNA
ACACACUGGGCAGGAAGGAGAGUAUCCAACUCAAGUGUAAAAGGAUGCAAGCGGGUGUCCAGAUCAGUGACUUCAAACUAGGACUACACCAAUCAGGACCAAUGGAGGAUGGACACCUAAAGGCAUUCCACAAGGAGAGUCUGAAGUUGAAAGGAACCUAAAUUGGUAUUCAAGAUGACCUUCAGACCUGUAAUGAGACGGCUCUUCCUACCUGGCUGGAUUGAUGGAGAGCCCUGUGGAUCUUGUCUUGCUCUCCGUUGCACAUCUUCUCAGGCUGUACUGUAUUUGUUUCUCGACAGGACUAGCUGAACGAUUGGUUCUCUUAAAUCAGAACAAAUCUGGGAACUCCAACUAGUGCGCUCUUCGAGCUGAAGUUGUGCUCUUCAGCUGAGGAGGUAAGGAAACCUUCACUGGGGCUUCAAGGUGUAAAGAGGAGAAUGUUUCAAAGUGUUCCAUGGUACUCUGAAGACCCUUGUUGUGUUCCACUGGCUGAGAGGAAGAACCCUCACAUCUUCCUCUUGGCCUUUCUCCUCUGAGAAUCCUGGCGCCAUCUAGAAGGAUAUUCCAGCUCGUGUAACUGAUGUCACGACAGAUUCUCAAACACUUGGUUUCUCCUGAGGGGCAUGUCUAGAGAACUGAAGACUUCAGACAGCACUGUAUCCCAGCAUGCAUCUCUGCUCACUCAGACCACACCCCAAUGAGUAGGAUGCAACACUCUAGUGAUGGUGAUGUAGAGUUUUAUAAGUAACGAGGAGCAGACAAAGGUGAUUAGAACAUGUCAAGUCGGUAAAUCUUUAAACCAUGAAGAUGGUUUGAUAGUUCAGGAAUUGGGUUUCUUUUUAUUAUGGGCAGUCCUUUCACUCAGAUGCCCACAUCUCACUGGACCUGUACAUGUGUUGGCUGGCUUGCAUGAUUUGCUGUUGGUGAUGAGGCGGUCAGGUUGACAUUGCAGGGCUAUGUUUGGCUCUCUGUGAGCUCAAUGUUUAGAUUUGCUCUGUAUGGUUUGUACCUGAAUAAUCUAGAUAAUUGUCAAAUGUAGACACGGUUUUGUAUUGAAUGAUUUUAGGUUUAUAGUUGUUGUGGGAAGUAUAUGGUAGUUUGGUUCUUCAUACGGUUUUGAGUGAUAUAAUUUGUACACACUGGGUGCAUAAUAAUGUAAAGGUACACUGAAUAGUAUUAAUGACCAACAGCAACAAACAGAUCUCCUCAAGGUAAGUCUGUUGGCUGUGUGUUAAUGAAGACCAUCGCUGGACUUCAGGAUGUUCCUCCGUUCAGCUCAAGGUUAGGCGCUGGAUCUGUUUUUUCUUUGGUUGGUUCCGGCCGGAAUGUUCGGAUUCCAGUCGGACGGUUUGUGCUUCCCGCCGUGGAAGGUUCUGAGUGCGGUCACUUGAUUUAGUCCCAAUGGUUAGCAUAGAACAUUGUAGUCUUGACAACCAUAAGAAACCACCUGGCAGUUAGUUGGACGGGAGCCCCCUGAGGGAAAUCUGGCGGAACGUUCUGGAUUGUAUUUGCGUAACCUCGAGCCGUUGCCAACGGAAACUAUUUUUCAGUCGUUUCCAUUGGGAAUUGUUGCCCCUUAUCUUAAACAACUUAAGUUUGAUAUUAAAUACAUAUUGACACGUACGUCGUAUAUGUUGAUAAUUUCUGAUGGUUGCGCCGUACUUUUAACCACGUUGACGUGACGGGACUCUCGUUGCGUACAAAACAGCGUUCUACUUGCGGGUCCAUUUUGACAUCAGUGAAGGCUGAAAAUCAUUUCAAGGUGGAAGACAAUUUGACAUUACUUCAACUGAACCCAGCACCUGAAUAUGGCUGAGUAUAUUUGAUUUAAUAUUGAUACUGCUUAGUGUUCUUUGUUACUUCAGCUUUUGUAUGUUCUAAAUAUCUGCUGUCAUUAAUUGCCACAGAAAUUAAACCCUACCCAACGGAAUGAUGUUAAACAACGACUUUGGUGCAGAGUUAACAACUAGAUAAUAUCAAAGCUUAAAUAAUGGCCGUCCUUCCCACAUGUUAAAGUAGAAGAUACUCUAGAACUGUGCAUGGUUAAAAAGUUAACGUGUAGUUUGUCCCAAGGUGUCUGCCUCCUCACCCAGAGCAAGACCUCCACCUCCUCACCCAGAGCAAGACCUCCACCUCCGGUCAGAAGUCCUCCAGAACAGCUGAAAGGUGAGGCUGAGAGGCUUGGGACCAGAGGCUUGUGGCGCCAGGAUGGACCGGAGACUGAGGCUGGAGACCAGGGGCCUGCAGCACCGGGACCAGAGGGUAACCAUCACCAAGCUCAUCUGAAACACUAAAAUCCAUGGUAGUUUAGGUCUGGUUUUGAUCAUCUUAUGACUUUAAAUCUGUGCCAAGCUGUGAUUUGAGUUAAUUCAUGCGGGGGGGUUAUGCAAGAGUCAUAUGAGCUAUUAUUGUUACUAGUGCUGCUACAACCGUAGUGGAUGAAUUGCUCAACGCGACAAUCUGCAGACAUAUUUAAUUGUUUAAAUGUUUCAAUUUGUCUUCCAUUUUACAAGUGAACCUCAGAUGCAGGAGGUGGGGUGUGUUGCGUCCCCAUUGUAGUCUUGACAACCAUAAGAAACCACCUGGCAGUUAGUUGGACUGGAGCCCCCUGAGGGAAAUCUGGCGGAACGUUCUGGAUUGUAUUUGCGUAACCUCGAGCCGUUGCCAACGGAAACAAUUUUUCAGUCGUUUCCAUUGGGAAUUGUUGCCCCUUAUCUUAAACAACUUAAGUUUGAUAUUAAAUGCAUAUUGACACGUACGUCGUAUAUGUUGAUAAUUUCUGCUCCCCAUUUACUGCUGAGACCAACUGUGUUUGUAACCAGACCAAGAAUCCAUGGCUGAAGGAGCUGAUGGAGGAGCCGUGCAGAAGGAGGUGAUGGAGUCGUGCUGAAGGCCCUGCCUGGUGGAGGAGCUGAUGGAGGCCCUGCCUGGUGAAGGACGUCUGUCGUGGGGUAGAUGGAGCCUGACUCUGAAACCAGGACUCUGUCUGAGGAGAGCUGUUGGAGGAGCUGAGACGCUGGAGGACGACUAGGAACCGACCAACAAGGAUUCCUCAUAAAACGUGUUUCUGGAGCGGAGGCGAGCUGGUAGGGGAGCCGUGAAUCUGGAGGAUGACCAUCACUCUACCAACAAGGAUUGUAAGCGUUAGGGCCAGACUCGCGCUGUUUGUUCCAGACCAGGACACUGGCUGAGGAGAGUUGAUGGAGGAGCAAAGAGUCUGGAGGACGACAUCACUCUACCAACCAGGAUCCUCAGACAAAUUACGUUUGUAACCAGAACAGGAAUCUGGAGGACUGAUGGAGAAGCCGUACAUCUGGAAGGCAAAUCCUGAGGACAACCAGGACUCUACCAUCAAGGAUUCCUCACACACCUGAGCUGAACCUCACCUGAUCCUGUUUGGUCGGGGGUAGAACCACCUGAGCUGAACCCCACCUGAUCCUGACAUCCUGCUGGUCCCGUCUCCUCAGUUUAUCUGAGCCUCGUCCUCCAGAAGACCUGCUGAGCUCAGCGGUCUGAGGCUGAUGGAUCAAUGACCUCCAGUGGGAGGGAUCUUCUUGACCCCAAAUGUAACCGUGUGCUUCCACACGCCUUUCUCUCACGUCUGUCACUAACCUCACUACUUCACUACUCUCUACUGCUUCCUCUUUUCUUCCUUCUCUGUGGUUCAAACCUUUACACUGAAGGCGCGUCUUCCUGCCCACAGAGGGUUUAGCGUUAGGGUUGAGAGUCAGGGUUUAGAGUCAGGGACAGAGCUGUUCAGGGAGGACUGCUUUUACACAAACCUCUUCACUUGCUUUCGGAAUGGUGGUGUCAUUUUGAAAAGAUUCAUUUGGGAAAAGGUUUCCUCUGCUUUCCUUUACAAAAUUUUAUUAAACUUCUGUCAAGUGUUUUUGUUUAUAUAUUAAAAUCCCACAUUGACUUCUACAUGUUUGGUGCGGUUCAUUUAAUUGUCCUUUAACUUGGUUAAUGUCAAGCUAAACUCCUGCAAUACAUUUAAUAUACAUGAUUGUUAUUCAGCAAUGUUCACAUAAUGCAUUUUGUAAAAAUAUGAAACCUCCAUAUUACUACUAUAUUCAAGCCUAUUCAUGCAUUUAACAAUGUACAUACUGCCCUGCAGGCCAUUCUCUGCUACUUCAACACGUUCAGUCCACCAACCGGUCUCACAUCAAUGUACUAUAGCUACGUUGGUUCAAACGGAAAAUGUAGUUUGGUGUGAGACUGUUGUCCAGCAGAGGGAGCCAUCAUACACCUUAAUUAUACAGGAAUGUCUGUAUUUACAUUUUAAGAUGUUCAUGUGCUGGUCUAGUUUGUCUGCAAAUAACUCUGCCUCCAGCAACAGGAUUGGUCAAAACAUAUGAUGUGAAUAUUUGAGUCAGUGUGUGACGUGACUUUACAGACAAAUCGAUUCAGCACACCACGGUGCAUGUCCUCAUUCUCUCUCUCUCUCUCCCCCACCCCUCUCUCUCCCCCUCUCUCUC